UACGUAGGGUGCGAGCGUUGUCCGGAAUUAUUGGGCGUAAAGAGCUCGUAGGCGGCUUGUCGCGUCGGAUGUGAAAGCCCGGGGCUUAACCCUGGACCUGCAGUGGGUACGGGCAGACUAGAGUGUGGUAGGGGAGACUGGAAUUCCUGGUGUAGCGGUGAAAUGCGCAGAUAUCAGGAGGAACACCAAUGGCGAAGGCAGCACUCUGGGACGGUACUGACGCUGAGACGCGAAAGCGUGGGGAGCAAACAGG
rnacentral:rRNA from 1 species